rnacentral:rRNA from 1 species
UACGUAGGGUGCAAGCGUUAAUCGGAAUUACUGGGCGUAAAGCGUGCGCAGGCGGUUCGCUAAGACAGAUGUGAAAUCCCCGGGCUUAACCUGGGAACUGCAUUUGUAACUGGCGGGCUAGAGUAUGGCAGAGGGGGGUAGAAUUCCACGUGUAGCAGUGAAAUGCGUAGAGAUGUGGAGGAAUACCGAUGGCGAAGGCAGCCCCCUGGGCCAAUACUGACGCUCAUGCACGAAAGCGUGGGGAGCAAACAGG